CUGUCAUCCUCCUCUGGCUCAUCUGCCAGAGUACUCCGGUUCAAACCGCCGCCCGUUGGCUUAGAAACCAGCAAAUGGCAUUGUCGGAAUCAGAGAACCCGAGCGUCGCCCCCAUCUAGCGGCAUUCGGCGGAACUAAAGCGUACGGCAACAUUCCAACGACCCUCGCCUCGAUAUUAUUUCUCUUAUCUGAAAUUGUCGUCUCAUAACACUAAGCCCCGUGAUUAUCCUUUACAGGGCACUAGAUAGUUAGAACGUAGGAAAAUUAGCCGUGUCGUCAAUUCGGCUACCCCGUACACGAGGUUAACCCAUUUUGUAGGUUAGUGCGGAGUAGCUUACGCGCCACCGUUAACGGCAUCCUGAAUACUUCAGGCUGAUAUUACUGCACCGCUUUAAGGAUAUUUCCUCUGUCUAGUAUGUGGCUCGAGGAGCUACAGUCAAGCAUGGAUCAGACGCUCGAAUAAGGACGAGCAAGAUCUUUGAGUAGACUAUAAUUUGAUUUUCCUACCAUUCGAGAUCGACUUCGGUCCAGAGGGUCUGUUCGAUAAUAAAGGAAAGGGAACAUACAGAAGUCGAAUGACAAAGGAACUUGGUUCUCCCUUUGCUAUGCUGAGUCGGUAAAGAAAUUGCAUUACUCAUUACGGGAAUCGUUUUCAAAGCUGGUUCAAUGAUUUUUCUUCUUUCAGUUUUUUCGCGAAGGACGACAAUGAGAAGAAGAAGAAAACAAAGAAUAUUGGAAGCUAUCGCGAAGAGGAAAUAUGUAUAUGGUUUAGCAGCGUUCCGCGCAAGAUCAGAUCAUGACGGGGGAGGGGGGGGGGCGUGGCGUGGCGGCAGUGCGUAAAGAAUGAAAAGUAAACGAUGAAAUGAAAAUAUUAAGCAUAGACUAAACAGUCAUAAAGAAAGACCCUAUGGCCUUUUUUAUUAGCCGAAGGGUGAGAGUUUAGUAUCCACACAGUCGGUAAGGCAGGAAACUGACUGGACGUAGUAGAUGGUGUCAGCAAUGAGUCAGCCACUGGCCGUGCAGUAGUUAAGUGCCACGUUGGGUCCGCGGUAAUGAACGAUAUACAACAGCAUCGUAAAAAAGCCUAGCGUGUAGAUUAUACUCAGUGGGAAAAUAAGUUUUGAAAAAUUUGUAUCUUCGUAGCGGCGGUCUCUUCUUUACGAUGACUUGCCUACGUAAUAACUCCGAAGAAUCUCAGCCCUUAAAAUUUAUAUAGAAAUACCUUACAGGUCUCUAGGGUAGGAAUUAAUAGUUAAGUUAAGUUAGGUUAGCACAGUACACAUAGCUGCCAUAGGAUUUGGUUGUAAUUAUCGAUUGAAGAUAACUAACUGGAGCUUUCGUAUAUGGCAGCAGAUCUUAGUAGAGAAACCAGAUGAACGAUUUUUAAAUUUCAAAUAUUAUUUAGAACUAAAUAUUUUAUCUGCCCUGUUUUUUU